AUGGCGGCGGAGUCUGCCUGGUGCUGGCCGUGGCUCGGCUCCGGCGCGGCGUGUUUCCUCUUCUUCAACGUCGUCGUCGGCGCCGUGGCCGUCUUGUCCUGGGCGCAGGGCGGCGACGAGCAGGUGGCUAGGCGGAGGAGGCUCACCCGGAGCGCGUCGUCCAUGGUCAUGGAGCGCCUCCGCUCCAUGUCCGUCUUCGCCGCCUUCCACUCCGUGCCCGAGCACGACUACGACAGCGGCCUCACGCCGCCGGCGUCGCCGUCGCAGCUCCACCACGUGCAAGAGUACUACACGUCGUCGCAAGAAGAGGGAGGAGAGGAGAUCAGGCACGCGGUGAGGCCAGAGCCGACCCUGCCGGCCGGAGAAAGCAUGACGGCAACGGUGGCUCCGUCGACACAGAGUGCUCCUGGUGCAGCAGCCGAAGCGGGACUGCGUUCAGCGGCUUCGAUGUCAGGGAGCGACAAGGCAGGAGCAGAGACGCGGACGGAGACGUCUAGAUGCUUGGGAGACGCGUGCACAGCAGUAGCGUUAGCGUUCCGGCAGCGAGACGCGCCGGCGCCGGAGCCAACGCCAGCCACGGCGGCCGCCAAGGGUGCUACGACGGAGAAGCUGAGGAAGCGGGAGCCGGCGAAGGUGGCGGAGAUCGUCGAGCGGCGCGCGUACGCGGAGGUAGAAGAGAAGGCGGAGGUGAACGCGCGGGCCGAGCGGUUCAUCCGGCAGUUCCGGGAGGAGCUCAAGCUGGAGCGCAUCAAAUCCAUGCUCAACCAGAGCGCCGCCGCCGCCGCAUCGGCACGGUAG
rnacentral:rRNA from 1 species